rnacentral:rRNA from 1 species
GGAGAGUUUGAUCCUGGCUCAGGAUGAACGCUAGCGGCAGGCUUAAUACAUGCAAGUCGAACGGCAGCACAGUGUAGCAAUACAUGGGUGGCGAGUGGCGCACGGGUGCGUAACACGUAUGCAAUUUGCCCAUAACUGGGGGAUAGCCUUCCGAAAGGAAGAUUAAUACCCCAUAACCCAGCGAGGUGGCAUCACUUUUCUGGUAAAUCUCCGGAGGUUAUGGAUGAGCAUGCGUCCGAUUAGCUAGUUGGUGAGGUAACGGCUCACCAAGGCAACGAUCGGUAGGGGGUCUGAGAGGAUGAUCCCCCACACGGGUACUGAGACACGGACCCGACUCCUACGGGAGGCAGCAGUAAGGAAUAUUGGACAAUGGAGGCAACUCUGAUCCAGCCAUGCCGCGUGAAGGAUGAAGGCCCUACGGGUUGUAAACUUCUUUUCUCUUAGAAAAAACUACUGGUUUCGUACCGGUACUGAUUGUACAAGAGGAAUAAGCAUCGGCUAACUUCGUGCCAGCAGCCGCGGUAAUACGAAGGAUGCAAGCGUUAUCCGGAUUCACUGGGUUUAAAGGGUGUGCAGGUGGGGUAAUAAGUCAGUGGUGAAAGCCCCCGACUCAAUCGGGGAACUGCCAUAGAUACUGUUAUUCUUGAGUGUAGUUGAGGCAGAUGGAAUAUGACAUGUAGCGGUGAAAUGCUUAGAUAUGUCAUAGAACACCGAUCGCGAAGGCAGUCUGCCAAACUAUUACUGACACUGAAACACGAAAGUGCGGGGAUCAAACAGGAUUAGAUACCCUGGUAGUCCGCACCGUAAACGAUGAUCACUCGUUGUUGGCGAUAUACAGUCAGCGACUAAGCGAAAGCAUUAAGUGAUCCACCUGGGAAGUACGACCGCAAGGUUGAAACUCAAAGGAAUUGACGGGGGCCCGCACAAGCGGAGGAGCAUGUGGUUUAAUUCGAUGGUACGCGAGGAACCUUACCUGGGCUUGAAAGACAGUUGACCGUCUCUGAAAGGAGACUUUCGCAAGACAACUGUCUAGGUGCUGCAUGGCUGUCGUCAGCUCGUGCCGUGAGGUGUCGGGUUAAGUCCCAUAACGAGCGCAACCCCUAUUUCUAGUUGCCAUACCUUAAUUGGUGGAACUCUAGAGAAACUGCCAGCGUAAGCUGUGAGGAAGGAGGGGAUGACGUCAAGUCAGCACGGCCCUUACGUCCAGGGCUACACACGUGCUACAAUGGCCGGUACAAUGGGUCGCUACACAGCAAUGUGAUGCUAAUCUCAAAAACCGGUCCCAGUUCGGAUUGAAGUCUGCAAUUCGACUUCAUGAAGCUGGAUUCGCUAGUAAUCGGAUAUCAGCUACGAUCCGGUGAAUACGUUCCCGGGCCUUGUACACACCGCCCGUCAAGCCAUGGAAGUUGGGAGUACCUGAAGUCCCCGAGCAAUCGGAGCCUAGGGUAAAACCAAUGACUGGGGCUAAGUCGUAACAAGGUAGCCGUACCGGAAGGUGCGGCUGGAAUACCUCCUUUUUGGAG